rnacentral:rRNA from 1 species
CAGGCUGCAACUCGCCUGCAUGAAGUCGGAAUUGCUAGUAAUCGCGGAUCAGCAUGCCGCGGUGAAUACGUUCUCGGGCCUUGUACACACCGCCCGUCCACACCAUGGGAGUCGGUAACACCCGAAGUCUGUAGCCUGACGCAAGAGGGCGCAGCCGAAGGUGGGAUUGAUGACUGGGGUGAAGUCGUAACAAGGUAGC